UACGAGGGGGGCAAGCGUUGUUCGGAAUUAUUGGGCGUAAAGGGUGCGUAGGCUGUGCGGUAAGUCACCUGUGAAAUCUCUGGGCUCAACCCAGAGCCUGCAGGCGAAACUGCCGUGCUCGAGUGCGGGAGAGGCCAGUGGAAUUGCAGGUGUAGCGGUGAAAUGCGUAGAUAUCUGCAGGAACACCCGUGGCGAAGGCGGCUGGCUGGACCGCAACUGACACUGAGGAACGAAAGCUAGGGGAGCAAACAGG
rnacentral:rRNA from 1 species